rnacentral:lncRNA from 1 species
CUAGCAACACUGAUGGUGCAGAAGAGACCAGAGGCCAUCACUUCCCAGUGGUAUCUACUCGCAUGAUUUUAUUUUGUCCGACGGUGCUUGGCUAGUCAGAGGCAGGACAGGCCCUGAAAUGAAAAACUGCUGCCCUGGAUUAAUGACUGUUUGCCUGUGACAGUGCAAGAGAAGAAUAGCAAGCAGAGACAUGGACACGAGAUAGAUCCCGAACAGGUCUUCACGAAGAAAUCAAAUUGAAGAUACAACUUCAGCAACUCUAAUAAUUCUAUAAAUACGUGAAGGAAUUCAAUAAAACAAGCCACUGAAAAGGACUUCCUUACAAACGAACACUGAAUAUCGAAUAAUUGAUUUCUUCUCUUAAGGCAGAAUAUGAAAACUACAACCAAGAAAUCCUACCCAACUCCUAAAUUACCAAUUAAAAUCAAGUACAACAGUAUUUCAAUAAUUCCAGAAGCCUGGGGAAGAAAAAGAAAUAGUCCUGAAGGGAGCAUGAAAAGGAAAUUUCCUCUCAAGAGCCAUAGUUUGCAGUCACUCCGUUGAAGUCCUGUCCGUCUUCUUACUUGGCAUUCCAGGACACUUCCCAAUUUUGACUUCGACCUGGAUUCACUCUCACUGCUGGCAGCCAAGGUCUCUCACCCUUCCUUUCUG